rnacentral:rRNA from 1 species
CGGCAGGCCUAUNACAUGCAAGUCCAGCGCGAAAGCACUUCGGUGUGAGUAGAGCGGCGGACGGGUGAGUAAUGCUUGGGAAUCUGCCCAGUAGUGGGGGAUAACCUGUGGAAACGCAGGCUAAUACCGCAUACGUCCUACGGGAGAAAGCAGGGGAUCUUCGGACCUUGCGCUAUUGGAUGAGCCCAAGUCGGAUUAGCUUGUUGGUGGGGUAAUGGCCUACCAAGGCAACGAUCCGUAGCUGGUCUGAGAGGAUGAUCAGCCACACUGGGACUGAGACACGGCCCAGACUCCUACGGGAGGCAGCAGUGGGGAAUAUUGCACAAUGGGCGAAAGCCUGAUGCAGCCAUGCCGCGUGUGUGAAGAAGGCUCUAGGGUUGUAAAGCACUUUCAGUAGGGAGGAAAUGUUGUUGGUUAAUACCCANCANCUUUGACGUUACCUACAGAANAAGCACC